rnacentral:tRNA from 1 species
UAGUCCGUAGCUCAGUAGGUAGAGCGUUAAACUGUUAAUUUAAUGGUCGUUGGUUCAAUUCCAGCCGGAAUCU